GAGUUUGAUCGUGGCUCAGAACGAACGCUGGCGGCGUGCCUAACACAUGCAAGUCGAACGAGAAACCGGUCUUCGGACUGGGAGUACAGUGGCGCACGGGUGAGUAACGCGUGAGUAACCUACCCUCAUGGCCUGGGAUAACGCCGGGAAACUGGUGCUAAUACCAGAUGAAGUCUGGAGUCGCAAGGUGUCCAGACCAAAGCAGGCCUCUGUUUACAAGCUUGCGCCGGGGGAUGGGCUCGCGUCCCAUUAGCUAGUUGGCAGGGUAAAGGCCUACCAAGGCGACGAUGGGUAGCCGGCCUGAGAGGGUGUCCGGCCACACUGGAACUGAAACACGGUCCAGACUCCUACGGGAGGCAGCAGUGAGGAAUUUUGCGCAAUGGGCGAAAGCCUGACGCAGCGACGCCGCGUGGGCGAUGAAGCUUCUUGGAGUGUAAAGCCCUGUCAGGUGGGACGAAACCGGAUGGGCGAACAGCCCUGCCGCUGACGGUACCACCAGAGGAAGCCCCGGCUAACUCCGUGCCAGC
rnacentral:rRNA from 1 species